UACGUAGGUGGCAAGCGUUGUCCGGAUUUACUGGGCGUAAAGGGCUCGUAGGCGGCCAACUAAGUCAGACGUGAAAUCCCUCGGCUUAACCGGGGAACUGCGUCUGAUACUGGAUGGCUUGAGGUUGGGAGAGGGAUGCGGAAUUCCAGGUGUAGCGGUGAAAUGCGUAGAUAUCUGGAGGAACACCGGUGGCGAAGGCGGCAUCCUGGACCAAUUCUGACGCUGAGGAGCGAAAGCCAGGGGAGCAAACGGG
rnacentral:rRNA from 1 species